AAUAUUAGGACAUAUAAAAAAAGACAACUCUGUUCCGCAGAGUAGCUGUUGACAUUAUAGUUGCGCAGGAACUUUGUUGACUCUAGAGAACCUCGGGCAAAUCGCACAUCCCCGUACUGGCGACUUUGCAUGCAGAUGUCAUGCAUAUCAACUUUCAAUGCAAGAUUCUACGCCUACCAUGGUGACCACGGGUAACGGGGAAUCAGGGUUCCAUUCCGUACAGGGACCCUGAGAAAUGGCUACCACAUGCAAGGAAGGCAGCAGGCGCGCAAAUGACCCACUCCAGAUGCGGGAAGGUAGUGA